rnacentral:rRNA from 1 species
AGUGAAUAGAUACCCCGGUAGUCCACGCUGUAAACGAUGUGAACUAGGUGUUAGCGGUUUCGACCCCGCUAGUGCCGAAAGCUAAACGCGUUAAGUUCACCGCCUGAGGACUACGGCCGCAAGGCUAAAACUCAAAGGAAUUGACGGGGGCCCGGCACAAGCAGCGGAGCGUGUGGUUUAAUUCGAUGCAGCACGAAGAACCUUACCUGGGUUUGACAUGCAUGUAGUAGGGAUCUGAAAAGUGACCGAUCCGCAAGGAGGCAUGCACAGGUGCUGCAUGGCUGUCGUCAGCUCGUGUCGUGAGAUGUUGGGUUUAAGUCCCGCAACGAGCGCAACCCCUGUUGCCAGUUACAUGUGUCUGGCGAGACUGCCGGUUUAACCGCCGGAGGAAGGCGGGGAUGACGUCAAGUCAGCAUGGCCUUUAUAUCCAGGGCUACACACACGCUACAAUGGCCGGUACAAUGGGUUGCCAAGCCGCGAGGCGGAGCUAAUCCCAUCAAAGCCGGUCUCAGUUCGGAUUGCAGG